UUUUAUAAUAGUGCACCAUAUGAUAAUUUGCAAAUGAAAAAUAGAGUAGUGCACUCUAUAAAAUAAAAUAAAAUAGAUAGUGCACAAAAAUAGUGGACUAUAUAAAAUAUAAUUAAUAGUGUGUUAUGUGGAAAAAUAGAUAGUGCACAAAAAAUGUGCACUAUUUACUUUUAACGGCGUCACACUAAUUCGUUAAAAAAAACACAGAGCACAGAAAAAGUUGCAUUCUACUUUCAGACAUAGUUAUGUUAUUUUUUUAAAUUAGGGGCAUAUUUUAGUUCUGCACUCCAUCUGUUUUUAUGGAUAGGGCAUAGAUUAUAGUUAGUACUUUUGGAUUCUCUUUAGUUCUUUUAUAGUUUAGAAGCUGCAUGCUGAAUAACAAAUAAAUUUAAGCACUCACUUUAAUAACAGUGGAUGAACAUUUGUUCUUAAUUUGGUUUUAGCUCCAACAAUUGUGUAUUAUUUAUCUCGCAAUAUCAGUUUUAAGUGUGUUGUUCAGUAUCUAGUUGAGUUCAUAACACUUGGAAACAAUAAGAGUUAUCGCAAUGAAAACAAAUUACAAGUAUACUUGUAGCUUAUGCUAUGCCUAUUGUUGAGUAUUAUAGCAAAUGAAGAAAAUUAUGGCCGUUAACUAACUAAUGUUGAUAUGCAUCUACCUGCAUUACUUUUGAAUUGCAUCUAGGAACUUUGGAUCUUGUUCCAUCCAAGUUAUGCAAUUAAUUGACAAUAGUAGCAGUCAUGAUAAUCAUGAUGUUUGUUUAAUAACUUACCAAGGUCAAUAAUAGUUUUACAUGGCUCAUCCAGACUUAAGGCAGGUGUCUACCACAUUCAUUGUUGUGCUGACCGUUGAAUGUCUGGUAUAAUAAAGAUGGUUCUUCGUUGCCUGGUAGUUCAGUUGGUAACUAAUUGAGCUACAUCAGAACCGCAUAUUUUAUCUGUGACUUUGCUCUCUGUCUAGACUGUGUUCCACUUUUUUUAAGGUUUGGGAUUUGAGAUAAAUACAUUACUAUAUUUUCAUGACAAGUGCAUGGUUAUAUUUUUAAAAUUUCUCUUCAAGACAAUUACAGACCAUUUUUUACUGCGAAAAUUACCAUAAGUAUCCCAACACAUUAUCAAAUAACUUAUGUCCAUUGCUAGGUGUUGCCAUGGUAAUCAGGACAUUUGUUUUGAUAACUUCCCUAUGUCAAUCGUAGCCAUUUACAUGGCUUUCCCAGGCUUAGGCAGGUGUCUACCAGUCAUUUGUUGUGCUGAACGUUGAAUGUCUGGACUAGUGAACAGUGGAUCUUCAUUGUGAGGUAGUUCAUUUGAUUGCUAUUUCAGUUACAUCGGAACCUCAUAUUUUAAAUUGAGACCUUUCCUUGUUUAGAUAUUCUUUUCUCCCCUUUUGUUAAGGCUUGCGACAAAUAUGCGACAUAUUUUCAAGAUAAACACGGGACUUCAAAUCGUAGAUUAGUUCAUUUUAUUGCUUGGAACUCAUCAUAAGUUUCUUUCCAAAAGUAAAUGAUGGGUAGUUCAGUUAUUUCUCCAUUUGAGGCAUUCCAGGUUGCUAUGGUAAUCGACUAAUUGGGAUAUGUGUUUUGAUAGCUUACCAAGGUCAUUACUAGCUAUUUACGUUGCUUACCCUGACUUAAGGCUGGUGUCUAACACUGUCAUUGUUGUGCUGACCGUUGAAUGUCUGUAAUACUUGUAAAUAGUCGUUCUUUAUCGCCCGUUAAUUCAGUUGGUCACAAUAUGAGCUAACAUCAGAACCUCAUAUUUUUUUCUGUGACCUUGUUCUCUAUUUAGAUACUUUUUUCUCCCCUUCCUUUGAGACAAAUACGGGACUAUAUUUUAUUGCUUGAAACUCACCAUAAGUUUCUUACUGAUAGACGGUGAUGGGUGUAUUGCCAUGCUUCUUGUAAAAUGCAUUUCAGUAAUGAUUAAUAUCCAUUGCCAGGUUGAUUCCUUGCUACAUUGUAUCACUGUUAUGGAUAAGUGAGAUUGAUCUUGUCUUAAUAAAUGAAUUUGCUGGCUAAGAUGAUCUGUUUGACAAUCUUAUAGUCGGCUUAGUGAAUUCACUUUAUCCGCGUGGAUCUCUAUGAACUUUUGUUUGCCGGGAACAUGUUCAUCUGAAAUGAUGUUGUGGACGAUUAUUUCUUUGCCAGAAGUGAUUGUUCCUCACAUUUCAGUUCAUCAUUGUUGCAGACUUGUUAAAAAGUCAUUGAUGCUGUUGGAGUGCUGAUGUUUCCGUUUUUUCAUAUUCUUUAAGAUAGAAAUGACCCAUCUAUGUUGAAUUGUUGUUAAGCUUUUCGAUUAUACGGUGCAAUUGUGCAUUUCAUAUCACAAGGUUAAGUACUGUUUGACCAUACUAAAUACUUAUUUGUUGGAGCUAUGUACUGUUUGUGGUAUUUCAAAUAAUUGCUGAAUAGUAACGUGUUAUAUGCCUUGUCCAGUGGGAACUUUGCCCUUAUGACUAGCAGAUCAUUGGUCAUAUUCAGUGCAAGUCCAAGAAAUAGUUAAAUGACUUGGAUUUGAUGCAGUUUUCUCCGGGGUCAAGUGUAGAAAUGCCCUGAAAAUUUCCAAUUUCUUUGUUUGGAAAUAGGAUAUUUGGCAUGGUGCAAACUUCCUACAAUGAAGUUGUUCAUGUCUGAUAGGGAAAGACAUAUAGAGAGAGAUGAAGAUGAAAGUGACAAUAGUACAUUAUGGUAAAAUGAGUAACAAAAAAUAGUAUAGACCACUAACAAAAGGUUAAGGCUGACGACUUUAGAAUGGCAGGAGCUGAACAAGAAAUGUACAUUGGUAUAAUUUACUUUCAGAAGUUAGCUUGCAAAGUGAACACUGUUUCAAGAUGUGGGAUAAAAAACUUCACUAUACAAAUGGGUUUGGAGAGGACCUUUCCCCUACCUUGAGAAGGUAGACAUAGACCGACUAGUUUCAUAGACCAUUGGUUCAAGUACAAUUGUGUAUUGUUUAUCACGCAGUAUCAGUCUUUUAAGUGUGCUGUUCAAUAUCUAGUUGAGUUCAUAACACUAGAGAAACAAGUAGUUUAAGAGCUGUCACAAUGAAAACAAAUUACAAGCAUACUUGUAGCUUAUGCUAUGCCUAUUGUUAAGUAUUAUAGCAAUGAAGAAAAUUAUGGUGGUUACUUGCCUGUGUAUUUGUUCCCUUUCCAUCCAUUUAAGGAAAAACUAUUGUGUAGUUCUGAAUUAGGUUGUUUGAGUGAGUCGAUAGUCCAUUCAUCUGGUAAAGUUAACAUUUAAUGUCAUAAUUCUUUUGUGAUUGUGGCUUCGAAAAAUAAUUCUUUUGUGAUGUAUAUGUUACAAUAAGAUGGUAACUGGACUAGGUCUUGUAUGAUAAUCUGCUGGCCAUUAGAUCACAAAACUGCAUUUGUUUGAAUCCUAGCAACCUAAUUUGGUUUACUCUCUUCUGAACUGGUGUGGUAGUUUUGGGGCUAGCUAAUGUCAAUUUGCAUCUACUUGCAUUACUUUUGAAUUGCAUCUCAGGACUUUGGUUCUUGUUCCAUCCAAGUUGUGCAAUUAAUUUACAAUAGUAGCAGUCAUGAUAAUCAAGACCUUUGUUUAAUAGCUUGCCAAGGUCGAUAAUUGUUUUACAUGGCUCAUCCAGACUUAAGGCAGGUGUCUACCACAUCCAUUGUUGUGCUGACCGUUGAAUGUCUGGAAUAAUAAAGAUGGUUCUUCGUUGCCCGGUAGUUCAUUUGGUAACUAUUUGAGCUACAUCAGAACCUCACAUUUUUAUCUGUGACCUUGCUCUCUGUCUAGACUAUUUCCCACUUUUUUAUGAGAUAUAAAAUACACUACUAUGUUUUCAUGAAACAACUAUGUUUUACUGUGAAAAUCACCAUUAGUGUCUUACUGGAACGCCAUGACAUGCUUGUUGCUGCACUUUUAGUAUGGGUUUAUAUCCCAACACAUUAUCAGUUGAUUUAUGUUCAUUGCUAGGUUUUGCCAUGGUAAUCAGGACAUUUGUGUUGAUAGCUUUCCGAUGUCAAUAAUAGGUAGUUACAUGGCUUUCCCAGGCUUAAGGCAGGUGUCUGCCAUAGUCAUUUGUUGUGCUGAACGUUGAAUGUGUGGACUAGAAAAGAGUGGUUCUUUGUUGCCCGGUAGUUCAUUUGAUUGCUACUCCAGCUAUAUCAGAACCUCAUAUUUUAACUUGAGACCUUUGUUUGUUUGGAUAUUCUUUUCUCCCUUUUUGUUAAGGCUCGCGACAAAUAUACGAUUUAUUUUCAAGAUAACCCAGGACUUUCAAUCGUAGAUUAGUUCAUUUUAUUGCUUGGAACUCGCCAUAAGUUUCUUUCCAGGUUCCUAUGGUAAUCGACUAAUCGAGAUAAUUGUUUUGAUAGCUUACCAAGGUCGGCACAAUAGCUAUUUACAUUGCUUAUCGAGACUUAAGGCAGGUUUUUAACAGUCAUUGUUGUGCUGACUGAUGAAUGUCUGUAAUACUAGUAAAUAGUCGUUCUUUGUUGCCCGAUAGUUAAGUUGGUCACAAUAUGAGCUACUUUGUAUUUUAUUGCUUGAAACUCACCAUAAUUUUCUUACUGAAAGAUACUUUUUGUAAAAUACACAGUUCAGUAAUAAUUAAUAUCAAUUGCCAGGUUGAUUCCUUGCUACUUUGUAUCACUGUUAUGGAUAAGUUAGACUGAUCUUGUCGUAAUAAAUGACUCUGCUGGUUAAGAUAAUCUGUUAACAAUCAUAUAAUUGGCUUAGUGAAUUCACUUUAUCUGUGUUAAUCUCUAUGAACUUUUGUUUGCUGGGAACAUUUUCAUCUGAAAUGAUGUUGUGGACGAUUACUUCUUUGCUAGAAACAAUUGUUCCUCGUGUUUCAGUUCAUCAUUGUUGCAGACUUUCAGAAACUCAUUGAUGCUGCUGGAGUGCCGGUGUUUCCCUUUUUUCAUAUUUUUAAGAUAAGAUAGAAAUGCCCCAUCAAUGUUGAAUUGUUGCAAGGCCUUUUGAUUAUAUGGUGCAAUUGUGCUUUUCAUAUCACAAGGCUUAAGUACUGUUUGACCAUAUACUAGAUACUUAUUUGUUGAAGCAAUGUACUGUUUGUGGUAUUCCAAAUAAUUGUUGAAUAAUAAUGUGUUUUAUUCCUUGUCCAGUGGGAACUUUGUCCUUAUGACUAGCAGAACAUAGGUCAUAUUCAGUGCAAGUCCAAGAAAUAAUUAAAUGACUUGGAUUUGAUGCACGGUUUUCUCCCAGUCAAGUGUAGAAAUGCCCUGAAAAUUACCAAUUUCUUUGUUUGGAAAUAGGAUAUUUGGUUUGGUGCAAAAUUCCUACAAUAAAGUUGUUCAUGUCUGAAAGGGAAAGACAAUAGUAGUGAUGCAGAUGACAAAGACAAUAGUACAUUAUGGUAAAAUGAGUAACAAAAAAUAGUAUAGACCACUAACAAAGGGUUAAGGCUGACAACUUUAGGAUGGCAGGAGCUGAUCAAGAAAUGUACAUUGGUAUAAUCUACUUUCAGAAGUUAGCUUACAGAGUGAACACUGUUUCUCACUAUACAAUUGGGUUCGGAGGGGACCUUUUUCCUACCUUGAGAAGGGAGACAUAGACAGACUAGUUUCAUAGACUAUUGGUUCAAGUACAAAAAUCAAUUAUGUAAAGCAAUCAAUGGAGAAGAAUCUAAUGGACAGCUCGGUGUACUAAAGCUCUCGCUAUAUGCCGGAUUCGGGGAAGGGUUUCAUUACAAGAGUGUAUUGUAUGUAAACUUCUGGUGAAGGAUGGAAUAGUUCCACCACUACACCACAACUCAUGUUAAGAGAAAAUAUUGAACAUAAUGGAUGCGAGAAAAUCGCAACAACAAAUAAUAUGAUGAUGGUAACUAAUCCUCGACCACUAGAUCUUACAUCUCGGGCUAUGUCGUGGUGAUUUUUGGAGCGUAACCAAACCAAGAAAUUCAUAUGAAUGUGAGUUCUGAUACGAUGUUAAAAGAAAAGGAUCUCGAGCUAAUUCAAAUCUAAAAGCUAGUAAAAAUUGUCUAAAGACUAAUAGAACCCUUUGAAAUAUCUGAGAAUAAUAGAACUUGACCUAAAUAUCUACACAUUCUAGAAUGCCAAUCUUUUUGGAAACAUUUCUUUGGCUAUCAUCAAAAAGGCAUGAAACUUCAAAUGCACUAAUAAUAAUAAUAAUUUAUGGAGGCAACUUACUCCAAAUUCAAUUUUGGUAGCCGUACCAUGGUCCACCAAGUACCAAAAGCAAAUAAAAAAGAAAGCUCAAACGUAAAGAAAAAUUAUAUUUAAC
rnacentral:lncRNA from 1 species